AACGUAGGAGGCGAGCGUUAUCCGGAGUUACUGGGCGUAAAGCGUAUGUAGGUGGCAAGGCACGUCAAAUGUGAAAGCCCCCGGCUCAACUGGGGAACUGCACAGGAAACUAGCGGGCUUGAGUUCGGGAGAGGGAAGCGGAAUUCCGGGUGUAGCGGUGAAAUGCGUAGAUAUCCGGAGGAACACCGGUGGAGAAGGCGGCUUCCUGGACCGACACUGACGCUGAGGCGCGAAAGCUAGGGGAGCAAACGGG
rnacentral:rRNA from 1 species